CAGGAAUGUCACUUUUGGAAAAGGCUGGAACUCUUCAAGGUAUCAGAUGUCCUGGGCCAAUUUAAGUCCAGUUCCUGUCUGUCCUCCUCACAGAUCAGGAGCUGGCUGGAACAGAUCGCAGAUCCAUAUGAUUUGGUUCUACUGCAUUCAUCACUUGGAAAAAUGCACAGCUGUGUUAAAGGAAGACAGAAAGAAUUUGUCUGCCCAGCGGGAAGCUAUUGCUGUUCCAUAAUUGUUUGCUAAAAGGAAGCUGGAAUAAAAAUGGAGGUAAAUGGAUAUCA
rnacentral:lncRNA from 1 species